UACGGAGGGUGCGAGCGUUGUCCGGAAUCACUGGGCGUAAAGGGCGCGUAGGCGGCGCGACAAGUCAACGGUGAAAGCCCGGGGCUCAACCCCGGGUCGGCCGUCGAUACUGUUGGGCUGGAGCACUGUAGAGGCAGGUGGAAUUCCGGGUGUAGCGGUGGAAUGCGUAGAGAUCCGGAAGAACACCGGUGGCGAAGGCGGCCUGCUGGGCAGUAGCUGACGCUGAGGCGCGACAGCGUGGGGAGCAAACAGGAUUAGAUACCCCCGUAGUCC
rnacentral:rRNA from 1 species